rnacentral:lncRNA from 1 species
UCGGCGUAGUUGUGCAGCGUAUAGCUUUGUUGAUGAUGUAGAACGUCUUGCAUGCGAAUUUGUUUCUCUUUUUCUCUUCCUUUGUCUUGACCUGAUGAUGAUACGACUCUAGCCCCCUGAUCUUCAAGUAAGAAGUAGUACUAGUGGGAGUAUUGUGCCACAUAUAUAUUAGCAACAACAGCGUUUGGAGUCUGCUUUCGGAUCCACUUUUUGUGAUAGAU